rnacentral:rRNA from 1 species
AGUGAACGCUGGCGGUAGGCCUAACACAUGCAAGUCGAACGGCAGCACAGUAAGAGCUUGCUCUUACGGGUGGCGAGUGGCGGACGGGUGAGGAAUACAUCGGAAUCUACUUUUUCGGGGGGGAUAACGUAGGGAAACUUACGCUAAUACCGCAUACGACCUACGGGUGAAAGCAGGGGAUCUUCGGACCUUGCGCGAUUGAAAGAGCCGAUGUCGGAUUAGCUAGUUGGCGGGGUAAAGGCCCACCAAGGCGACGAUCCGUAGCGGGUCUGAGAGGAUGAUCAGCCACACUGGAACUGAGACACGGUCCAGACUCCUACGGGAGGCAGCAGUGGGGAAUCUUGGACAAUGGGCGCAAGCCUGAUCCAGCCAUACCGCGUGGGUGAAGAAGGCCUUCGGGUUGUAAAGCCCUUUUGUUGGGAAAGAAAAGCAGCAGGUUAAUACCCCGCUGUUCUGACGGUACCCAAAGAAUAAGCACCGGCUAACUUCGUG